CAGCAAAAGGAAUUGGAAAUAUCAAGAAAGGAGACUCAGAGGUGGUACAUAGAGCUUGGCUUUGCAGAAACAAGAUAUGAAGAAAUAAAAACACAUUUGACACAGGUUCUUUCAGAAUUAGACUAUCUUAAACAAGAAACUGGGGACAAAAUGCUUGGAAAGCAUCACUGCACAUUAAUGGUGAAAGAGCUUCAGAAGACAAAA